UACGUAGGGUGCGAGCGUUGUCCGGAAUUAUUGGGCGUAAAGGGCUCGUAGGCGGUUUGUCGCGUCGGGAGUGAAAUCCACUGGCUUAACUGGUGGCUUGCUUUCGAUACGGGCAGACUGGAGGUAUGCAGGGGAGAACGGAAUUCCUGGUGUAGCGGUGGAAAUGCGCAGAUAUCAGGAGGAACACCGGUGGCGAAGGCGGUUCUCUGGGCAUGUCCUGACGCUGAGGCGCGACAGCGUGGGGAGCAAACAGG
rnacentral:rRNA from 1 species